GAUGAAGAACGUAGCGAAAUGCGAUACGUAAUGUGAAUUGCAGAUUUCAGUGAAUCAUCGAAUCUUUGAACGCACAUUGCGCCCGCUAGUAUUCUUGCGGGCAUGCCUGUUCGAGCGUCAUUUCAACCAUCAAGCCCUAGGCUUGCGUUGGAGCCCUGCGGCUGCCGCAGGCUCCCAAAUCCAGUGGCGGGCUCGUCGUCGUACCGAGUGCAGUAAACAUCCUCGCUCAGGGAACGUGACGGGUUCUUGCCGUGAAACCCCCCACAUAUCAAGGUUGACCUCGGAUCAGGUAGGAAUACCCGCUGAACUUAAGCAUAUCAAUAAGCGGAGGA
rnacentral:misc_RNA from 1 species